rnacentral:lncRNA from 1 species
ACACACACACACACACACACACACACGGGAGAGAGAGGGGGAGAAAUCUCAUUUUACAGGAAGGGAGCCCUGUCCUCUUCCCUUUUGUCUUUGGAUGCUGGUAUGUGAAGAUGUGACAAACGGAACGGCAGGAGCCAUUUUACUACAGGAGGCAACAUGUGGAUAAACUACACCAACCCAUUAAAAAGUGGCAGAGCUGGGCCGGGGAUUUAGCUCAGUGGCUCCACUGCCUGCCUCACAAGUGCAAGGACCUGAGUUCGAUCCCCCGGUACCCUCAACAAAUAGUGGCAGAGCUGAAAGAUUCAAAGGGUCCAGGUCCUGGAUGGGGCCAUUGAGGUGCUGAGCCAGGAUGAGGCAUCGUGCUGGGGAGGACACAGGCAGCUCUCUUGACUGGCACCAAAGCGCUUGAUCAAUCAGCAAAUGUGUAUGGAUUGUCUGGUGUGUGCCAGGCCCUGCGUUAAGUGCUCAGAUAAUGGUGUGGUUUUCGUCUUCGUGAACUUUUGUUGAGGGGAUCUGAGCUACUGGAGGAAUUAUAUCCCUGCACAUGAGCAGGGGAAGUUCAGGGAUGCUGGGACUGAACCUAUGACCAAGGUAAAGGAAAAGGUCAGGAGGAGGGUGUGGAUAACGCCUGAAGGGCAGCUUACAGCCCUGGAAGCCUUGAAAAGGACAGGGAGGUGAUCUGAUCUGCCUUAGGAUGAAGUCUCUGGGAGCUGUGCCAGAAGUGGAGGAGGAAGUGCAGCCAGAGACCCAGCCAGGUUCCUCUACCAGUCGGGAGCAGCGCAGCAGGCCGGCCUGGCUGCUGUGGGGCCUCGGUUGUGCAGACCACACUGCGUAGUUGCACAGACACAGGCUGAGUCUUCUCCAACAAGAGGGGAAGAUAGGAGUCUCACUUUUGGGGUCCAACUCCCAGGCACAGCAGGCCCUACUGGAUACGGAGCAAAACAGGAAGUCUUGGCCCCAAAUUCCUAGCGCAGAGGGGGGCUCCUGGUGCGGAUCACACCUGCGUGGCUGCUCGGACAGUUUUGGGGCCCCCAGCUGGAGUGAUGACAGUCUUGGGGGUCUUGGGGCCGGCGGCCUGG